AUAGCGGCCCGUCCACUAUCGAUAGUGCCAUCGAUAGCGGGCGUCUCACAUCGCUAAAAUACUUUAACGCGCAUUUCACACACAACUUCACACAAACAACUGAAAAAUUGUUAAAAUUGACGGGAAUUAUAAAAAAAACUAUUAAAAAUGGAACGCUUUUAAAAAAAGGUAUGUUUAAUGUAUUUUGCAUAAGUAUUUUGAUGGAUAAUGUGUUGCAUUUAAGGUACGAUCAGAUAGCAAAAUCGGAAACGCACGAGUGGAUGCUAUACUUAUUAAAAGGCAAUAUCUGGAGAGGGCAAUUGUCAGUCACGAUGUGGACCCACUGUUAUGGAUUAAGGUUAAUCAAACUGAUCUUCCCUGCAUAAAGGGCCUCUUUUGCAAAUACCUUUGCAUUCCCGCAACAUCCGUAGAAUCGGAAAGAGCUUUUAGCAAGGCAGGGCAAAUUGUUUCCGAGAGACGCACCCGGCUCAAAGAGAAAAACAUUAACAUCCUGUUAUUUUUGAAUCAAAACUUUUGGUUAAAAUAAACCAUUUUUCUUAAAAACUUAAAAAAAAAA